rnacentral:rRNA from 1 species
CCUACGGGGUGCAGCAGUGGGGAAUAUUGGACAAUGGGCGAAAGCCUGAUCCAGCAAUGCCGCGUGUGUGAAGAAGGUCUUCGGAUUGUAAAGCACUUUCGACGGGGACGAUGAAGACGGUACCCGUAGAAGAAGCCCCGGCUAACUUCGUGCCAGCAGCCGCGGUAAUACGAAGGGGGCUAGCGUUGCUCGGAAUGACUGGGCGUAAAGGGCGCGUAGGCGGUUUAUGCGGUCAGAUGUGAAAUCCCCGGGCUUAACCUGGGAACUGCAUUUGAGACGCAUAGACUAGAGGUCGAGAGAGGGUUGUGGAAUUCCCAGUGUAGAGGUGAAAUUCGUAGAUAUUGGGACGAACACCGGUGGCGAAGGCGGCAACCUGGCUCGAUACUGACGCUGAGGCGCGAAAGCGUGGGGAGCAAACAGGAUUAGAUACCCUUGUAGUC